AUUGUUCCAAGAGUGUCUUGGACGAGAGCAGGAAGUGGAACCUUGUUAAGGUCGGAACGAACUGCCUUAAGGAAGUCGAUGCUUUAGGUCCGUCCACGAGGACGACGCAGCUAGGAGUUAGAGGUUUAUAUUUGAACACACGAGCUAGCCAUGUGAUCAAAACAUGUUUUUAUUUUGCUGUUAAUAUGAUAGUUUAGUUUAGUGGUUAUGAUAGUUUAGUGGAUUUGAACGAAUAUUAAA
rnacentral:precursor_RNA from 2 species